UACAGAGGGUGCAAGCGUUAAUCGGAAUUACUGGGCGUAAAGGGCGCGUAGGUGGUUUAUUAAGUCAGAUGUGAAAUCCCUGGGCUUAACCUAGGAAUUGCAUUUGAAACUGAUAGGCUAGAGUAUGGGAGAGGGAAGUGGAAUUUCCAGUGUAGCGGUGAAAUGCGUAGAUAUUGGAAGGAACACCAGUGGCGAAGGCGACUUCCUGGACCAUUACUGACACUGAGGCGCGAAAGCGUGGGGAGCGAAC
rnacentral:rRNA from 1 species